ensembl:lncRNA
AUGGCCAGGUCACGGCAUUGGGAACGGCAUCGGGAACGGCCUCAGACAAGGGCACCGCCUCGGGAACGGCCUUGGACACGGGUAUCGCCUCCGGAACCAUCUCGGGCCCCGCAUCGGCCUCCGGAACAGCAUCGGGCACCGCCUCGGGAAUGGCCUCAGGAACGGCAUCGGACAAGGACACCGCCUCGGGAACCUCGGCAUCGGGCACCGCCUCGGGAACGGUCUCGGGAACGGCCUCGGCAUCGGGCACAGCCUCGGCAUCGGGCACCGCCUCGGCAUCGGGAACAACAUCGGGCACCGCCUCGACCUCCGGAACAGCCUCGGUCUCGGGCAUUACAUCGGGAACCGUCUCUGGCACCGUCUCUGGCACGGCAUCGGUCACUGCCUCGACCUCCGGAACGGCAUCGGUCACCGCCUCGGCAUCGGGCACCGCCUCGGGAACCGCAUCGGGCACCGCCUCGGCAUCGGGCACCGCCUCGGGCACCGCCUCGGCAUCGGGAACCGCCUCGGCCACCGCAUCAGGCACCGCCUCGGCAUCGGGCACCGCCUCGGCAUCGGGCACCGCCUCGGCAUCGGGCACCGCCUCGGCAUCGGACAUUGCAUCGGGAACCGCCUCGGCCACCGCAUCAGGCACCGCUUCGAACACCGCCUCGGCAUCGGGCACAGCCUCGGGCACCGCCUCGGCAUCCAGAACCACCUCGAGCCCCGCCUCGGGAACCUCGGGAACGUCCUCCUGGACGGCAGCGGCCCGCUCGGGAACGUCCUCCUGGACGGCAGCGGCCCGCUCGGGAACGUCCUCCUGGACGGCAGCGGCCCGCUCGGGAACGUCCUCCGGGCUUCGAGGAACGGCUGACGCCUGUCUCCUCCUCCUGCGGCCUCUAUGAUGGCGUGCCGGUGGCUCCUUGACGGAAGACUCAGGCGUUGAGUCAACCAUCUUGUGCUGUGGUGCUGGGCCGGCGGCCCUCUUGUGCUGUGGCGCUGGGCUGGCGGCCAUCUUGUGCUGUGGCGCUGGGUUGGCGACCCUCCUGGACUGUGGUGCUGGCUCAGCAGCCGUGAUGUGACUACUCCUGGGAAACUCUGGGAUCUGGCACAUCCUGGAAAAGUAACUAAACAAUGUCUCCGCGGCCAUCUUGGGCGGUGGCGCUGGGCUGGCGGCCAUCUGGCCUCGUGGCGUGGGGCUGACGACCGCCUUGUGCUGUGGCGCUGAUCCAUCCCACACAAGCCCCGGGUCGAAGGGGCCCCGUGGUUGAGAGCGAUGUUGAACUUCCUCUCGCGCCUUCACUCCUCUGCGACCUCCCCGGGUCCCACGAAAAACGACCAGGCGGGUUCCCUCAAACCCACUCCUUCUCUCCCGCUCGAUGGCCGGGGGAGAAACCUCAAAAACCAUACUGCUGGAUCUAGGAUUGACGGAGUCCUUCUGUCACGAAACGCACACAGACAGGUAGAUCCAAUUGCAGUAAGUCUUUAUUAGGGGCAAUCCAAAAUCAUAAAUCCAGCCAGGCAGGGGUCAAAACCAAACAUAAACCGUCCAAAACACGAAACACAAACACUCACGAGGGAACCAGGAAAAAGCAGGGUGACAUUCAACAAGGACUCCGUGACAAUGACAGAACAACCGGGGUAUUUAUACACAGAGAAAUGACAAUGCUAACGGGGAAUUGGCUGAGUGCAAUGAUUAGUAACCACGGACAGCUGAGUGCAAUGAGCAGUGAUGAAACAGACAAGACUAUGGGAAAUGCAGUUCUAAGGUGGGGUGACGAUAAGGGGAAGUGAGACCUCUAGUGGCCACCCAGGGAGACACAGAACAGACACCGUGACAGUAAUGACAUCAUUAUCACAUCACACAGCUGAUUGGUUCUCUGCUGUAUUGGUAGCCAAUGAGCUCGCUGCUCAACAUUCAAAUAUAUGACUAGAGCUUGCCAUAGCAGUGCAGCUUGCUUCAGAAACCCUCUACCUUCCCCAGCUCCACCUGUAUAGAUCUGCUACGAGGUGAUUCAUGUAUGCUAUGGGGUUAUUUUAUGUAUGUUAUAUUUGCAGCAGCAAUAUUUCUUACAUGCUCACAGCAGUAUGUUGUGGAUGUAUUGCAUUAGUAAGUCUUUUACUAACUUUAAUGUUUAAUGGAUUAAUCACGAAUAAUUACAGAAAAAUGUGAUUAGUUUUUUUU